rnacentral:rRNA from 1 species
ACUCAAAUGAAUUGACGGGGACUUGCACAAGCGGUGGAUUAUGUGGUUUAAUUCGAUGGUAAACGAAGAACCUCACCAGGAUUUGAAACCUACACGACAGUCACAGAAAUGUGAUCUCCGAAAGGCGGGUAGGCAGGUGAUGCAUGGCCGUCGUCAGUUCGUGGUUUGAAUUGUUCCCUUAAGUGGGGUAACGAACGCAACCCUCGUCGUGUGUUACAAGUGUCACACGAGACUGCCCCGACCUUUGGACAUGAGCGCUCUAUUAAUUUAGAGUUUGGCUCGUGAAUAAAGGUCGGGGAGGAAGGAGAGGAUGACGCCAGGUCAGCAUGUCCCUUUGAUAUCCUGGGCUACACACAUAAUACAAUCGGCACUACAACGGGUCGCGACGGGGUAACCCUGAGCCAAUCCUUAGAAAGGUGCCGCCAGUUCGGAUUGAGGUCUGCAACUCGACCUCAUGAAGCCGGAAUCGCUAGUAAUCGCGGGUCAGACAUACCGCGGUGAAUACGUUCUCAAGUCUUGUACACACCGCCCGU